rnacentral:rRNA from 1 species
UACGUAGGGUGCAAGCGUUGUCCGGAAUUAUUGGGCGUAAAGAGCUCGUAGGCGGCCUGUCGCGUCGGCUGUGAAAACCCGGGGCUCAACCCCGGGCCUGCAGUCGAUACGGGCAGGCUAGAGUCCGGCAGGGGAGACUGGAAUUCCUGGCGUAGCGGUGAAAUGCGCAGAUAUCAGGAGGAACACCGGUGGCGAAGGCGGGUCUCUGGGCCGGAACUGACGCUGAGGAGCGAAAGCGUGGGGAGCGAACAGG